rnacentral:piRNA from 1 species
AAAUGAACAAAGAUUGGAGCUGA